UACGUAGGUGGCAAGCGUUGUCCGGAAUUAUUGGGCGUAAAGCGCGCGCAGGCGGUCCUUUAAGUCUGAUGUGAAAGCCCACGGCUCAACCGUGGAGGGUCAUUGGAAACUGGGGGACUUGAGUACAGAAGAGAAGAGUGGAAUUCCACGUGUAGCGGUGAAGUGCGUAGAGAUGUGGAGGAACACCAGUGGCGAAGGCGACUCUUUGGUCUGUAACUGACGCUGAGGCGCGAAAGCGUGGGGAGCAAACAGG
rnacentral:rRNA from 1 species